UAGCUCAGUUGGUAGAGCAUGGUGUUUGCAAUGCCAGGGUUGCGGGUUCGAUUCCCAC
rnacentral:tRNA from 1 species